CGCUGUCUAGUGUGUAUGCUCUCUAUAUAAAUGCUGUCUAGUGUGUAUACUCUCUGCAUAAACGCUGUCUAGUGUGUAUGCUCUCUAUAUAAACGCUGUCUAGUGUGUAUACUCUCGACAUAAACGCUGUCUAGUGUGUAUGCUCUCUACAUAAACGCUGUCUAGUGUGUAUACUCUCGACAUAAACACUGUCUAGUGUGUAUACUCUGUACAUAAACGCUGUCUAGUGUGUAUACUCUCUACAUAAACACUGUCUAGUGCAGACAUCCCAAGUCUCCCGGAAGUUCCAGGAGUCUCCCACAUAUUGACAGUGGCUCCCUGAUGCCCACAAAUUGGAGAAUAUCUCCCGGAAUCUAGAGCAAUGAGCAAGCCUGUGGCGACGGUGGCAAGGAAAAACUCCCUCAGACGACAUGAGGAAGAAACCUCGAGAGGAACCAGACUCAAAAGGGAACCCAUCCUCAUUUGGGUGAUAACAGACAAGGUGUGAUGUGAGAAGCUCUGUGGUCAGUGUGCUGUAACUCGUCGACAUGGUGAUGUCCAACAUGGAAACGUCAUUGAUACUCAAGCCAGGCUUGUGCAAGGGCACAGCGGGGUUUCUACAUCAGCACUCACUCUUACACUGGGAUGUCAUUAACGUGUGCCUGAUCAAGCUACUGUGGUCUCAUCUCACAACUAACGUCUUACAAAGAGGAUUUUCAUCUCGUCAGUGUGUUGAGAGAGAGCAAGAAAUGAAUGAAACUCUCAGUAGGAGCAGAAAAGUCAAAUAAAUUUUUAAUACGAACGUUGAA